GCUAGUGACAAUAGCAAGUUGAAUGCACCACCAGUUCCCGGGUGGAUCAUUGAAGAUGAGCAACGUUAUGCUUGGUUAGUUUCCGGAUGGGCGACCAUCUGGGCAAUCUCGUGCUACUGGCU
rfam:Asian citrus Psyllid, Diaphorina citri - Florida Strain, whole genome shotgun sequence.